UUAAUAGUUAGUAAUAAAUAAAGAUAUUUGUUUUUUAAUGUUAUGUGUAUUGUGUGAAUCUGUAUGAUGCAUUGUUAUAUGUAGAUUUUACUUAAUAAAAUAUUUUUAAUGGGGUAGAAAGAUGAUAAGCACAGCUAAUUUAGGAAAAUUGAUUGCUCAGGGGUGUAACUAUGGGAAGGACAAAAUGAGGGCAUUUCUCCUCCCAGAUAAGAAUUUUUCCCCCUCCCAUGAAAUGUUCUGCCAAUGUGAACAUUUUUAGCAUUAAGGAGAAUGAGACAUGGAAAAUCAUUCUUAUUUAGAACUUUUCUAUUUUCAGUGAUCACAUUUUUGGCCCCAUCUGCACUGACCACUUAGGUGAUCUUUCUUUUCUACAGCUACCCUGUUUCAGAAGGAGCUCAACUACAGUGGGAAUUUCUGGAGUGUCAAUGUAGUCUGCAUCUCCCUUUUUUGUGAGAAGGAAACAGAGGUGAAAAACAUUCUGUCAAUAUAUGUAGUUGUAUAAAGAAAUCUAAAUCAGGGACAUCUUGAACAUAAGAUGUAGAGAUUUGGUUGUGUUAAUCAGGGAUCUAAUGGACAGCAUUGUUUCUAUGUAUGUUGUAAAAAGUUCUGACAUGUACCUGAUUCUUUGAAUGGCAAUAUUUGCUGUAGAUCUACAGGUUUAUCUUCUCUUAUUCAUUCAGUGCUUUUAGUUCCAUAUUAGCCCCAGGUGGCACAGUGGGUUAAACCAUUGUGCGGGCAGGACUGCUGAUUGAAGGUUGGGUUGCUGACCUGAAGGUUGCCAGUUCAAAUUCAACCCAGGGAGAGCGCAGAUGAGCUCCCUCUGUCAGCUCCAACUCCAUGCAGGGACAUUUUUUUUUCGUGUCAGGAGCAACCGGAGUUGCUUCUGGAGUGAGGGAAUUGGCCGUCUGCAAGGACAUUUCCCAGGGGACGCCCAGAUGUUUUGAUGUUUUACCAUCCUUGUGGGAGGCUUCUUUUGUGUCCCCGCAUGGAGCUGGAGCUGAAAGAGGGAGCUCAUCCGCGCUCUCCCCGGGUGGGAUUCGAACCUGGCAGCUUUCAGGUCAGCAACCCAACCUUCAAGUCACGAGGCUUUUAUUCCCCUAGGCCAACGGAGGCUCCUAUGCAGGGACAUGAGAGAAGCCUCCCACAAGGAUGAUAAAAACAUCAAAACAUCUGGGAGUCCUCUGGCCAAUGGUCUUGCAGAUGGCCAAUUCUCUCACACCAGAUUUCUCAAGUUGCUCCUGACACUAAAAAAAAGUUCUACAUCUAAAGACAUAACUUGUGAACAACAAAAGAACAUGAAAAUGCAUUGAGUCAUCUGCAGAACCCAAACAAUGUCCAACUGUACAUCCUUCAUGCUCAUGCUUAACCUUCUAGAGAAGAUAUGGAGGGUGAACUGAAAAAAGAGAGUCCAUCUAGUUAGAACAGUUAUAUUAUCUUUAUAAGCCAGUCAACAUAACAAAUGAAAAUAGCAGAGGAAUCCUGUUUUACUGAUAGUUAGCAUAAGGUACAAUCUAUUGUCCAUAAGCCCCAAACACUUCAGUAUAAGGUAACUUAUUUCAUUAAUAAAUGAAAAUAAUUUUGCCUGUGUGUUUUGAAAUGUGAAUCCCUUUUACCUUCUAUUAUAUGAUCACUAUCGCCCUUAUUAUUUUUACAGGCCAUUUUAUAGUCACAAUAAGAAGGUCAUAUUGUGAUCUAAAAACAAAAUAAACAUUGCAAUCAGAAAGGGAACUAGAUCACAGUUGUCUGUCAUUCAAAUGCAGGAAUCCUAGAAAAUAUAAACUCAUCAAGACCUAUCUGCUUUGGGGAUGAGUGUCUUCAUCCAUUAAAUGAUGGCAUGGCAUGUGGUGGAUGGAAUUAUUGUACAGUAACAAAAAUAAUCCAGUGUAGUUGCAACACUCUCAGUAUGAAUCUCAAAAAGCCAGUAAGCUACUUUACCCUCUGAAGAAUGUCAAAUGCCAUUCUUUAUAACUGAAAACAAAUUUGAAAUCAAUGUUUGUGUUUUUUCCUAUAGAAUGUAAGAUACACCAUUUCUACAACACAAUGCUUUCAUGGGCUGACAUACAGAGAUUAACCCACCGAUAUGUUUAUCCAGUUUGUGAACUCUGCAUAUUAUUAUUAUUAUUAUUAUUAUUAUUAUUAUUAUUAUUAUUAUUAUUAUUAUUAGUUUAAUGUAUAAGUCACUUAUAAUAUUUAGCAUUGCAAUGAGAGUAUCUUUUAAGCAUUUGUUUUUGGUCUGUGAUAUUCAACUUGGUGUAAUGCCUGCACCCACACCUUAUUCAGUUGUUUAAACAUCAAAAUAUUCUACAACGCAAUUUUAGAAGUAAAGAUGUUUGAAUUAUUUUGUACAAGACACUUUGCAAUCAUUUACUAAUGCCUUUAUUGGCACUGUCCAGUUGUUAUAUCAGAGCAAAUGUGAUGCAGUGCUUUGAGUAUUCAACUACAACUCCGGAGACCAGAGUUUGCUUCGCUGUGUUCAGCCAUGGAUUGGAAGCCACAGAGUGAUCUUGGUGAAUCACACUCUCCACCUCAGAAAACCCAGUGAUAGGGUCAUAUUAAAGUCACCAAAAGUUGGAAACAACUUGAAGGCAAACAACAACGACAACAAAGACAGUGAAUUAAGAUGAUCUACCAAUAACUGAAUUCUUGGGUGAUUGAGACUAUUUCCCAGGAAACAAGUUUAUAGGAUCCUUGCAAGAAUUAUGCACUACUUCUUACUUUUUGUUUGGAGGAUCAAGGUAAAUAUGAGAUUAAGAAAGACUCUUUACUGUUAGAUCUUCAGGUUCAUCCCAGUGUGCUUGCUAGGCUGAACUUUGGUCUAUUAGAAAAUGGCCAGCUGUAUGGUUUGACUAAAACAUGAUAGGAAUGACAGGAAUUCUAAGGACCACACAUUCCUUAAGUUUUCUUCCAUUCUCAUGGCUUUUUACAAGAAUAGUUCAAUGACAAAUAUAUGUUUUUAUAGUGCAACAACCAGGCACAGAUCAGGACAAUUAGUCACCAGUCUCAUUGUUUUAGUACAAUUCUCUAGCUGGAUAGAAGUCAUGUAGUGUUUUGUUUACCAGCUACUAACAUUUCUUUCUCAACAUGUUAGAUUCGACUUACCAGCAACACAGCAGAUGCCCUCUUGAGAUCUAGAGGACAGCAUUUGCUCCUUGGCAUCAGUGAUGAGGCUCAGCCAAGAACAUUUCUCAGAAGAUCUUGGUGCUUGAGAACACUCUGUAAUUCAAAAAUGGUUAACAUCUUUUUUUUCCUCAUCCACACCUUGUUCUUACUCCACUAACACUGAAACUUUUCUGUGUAUUCUGACAAAAUGGGAAAUCAGUAGCAGUAGUGCUCCUUUUCUUAAGAUGAGGUGGAAAUCACACUAUUCUCAUUACUGGACUACAAUUCUCAGCAUAUUUUGCUAUUGUGUUCCACACUUACUUUUUAUUUUGACAAAAUUGUUGUCAAUCUCAAAACAUGCAAGGAUUUUUUUGCUUUGUGCUUGCUAUCUUAGGCCAAGGAUAAAGCCUGUUCCCUAUAAUUAAAAAGGAAAUAAGCCAGGACUCAAGGGAGGGCUGUGGGAUAUGGUGUCACAAAAAUGACUCUCAGACCACAUAUAGUCCACAGGGAAUUGAUUUUGUCUUCCUGAUGAGAUUCCUCAGCUUUUGGCUAGGGCUUUUGGGGAUGUUACUGUUAUGGUUGAGCCUUAUGGCUCUAAUACUGGGAGACGUGGUCGUAAGACUCCUCGAGAGUCAGACUCUCUUGAGGAGCGAGAGAGGAAACGGCUGCGGGAUAUAUUUGCAGAAUCAACUGACGAAGACUCCUUUGAGGGUUUUACCGAGAGAAUGGAGGAAGAGGUGGUUAGCUCAGAAGAGGAUGACAUGGAAUGGACUCGUGUGAGGGAGGAUUUGGGUGUUCCUGGUAACGAUAGCAUGGGAAGCGACUGGCGGGUUGCAGGAUCGGACCCGUGGACGAGCUGGAGGGAUGGAACGGGAUCCACAGCUGGGGAUGCUGUGGGGCGUAGUCAAAGAUGUUUUAGCUCUGAUGAGGAUGAUGAUGAUGAGGCACCUGGAAUUAGGGUAACAACUGAUAGCGAUGAGGAGUUGUAACUGGCAUAAAAUGGGGUCUUGAAUCCAGGGCUAAUUGCGUUGGGCAAGGUAAUCUGGACGAACGCUUGGGCUCUUGUUGGGAAUUUCCUGAAGACGGGUGUGUUUCGUUUGCUGAAUACGUAAGUUGCCAAGGACACUGGGCAUAGACGGCGGGAGGAACUGUGUGGGCUUUUGUUGUGCAAUCUUAUGUUUGUGUUUAAUCUUAUUAGCUUGGACCUCCGUCGUCUUCUUGACGGACAUUAUUUACCUACUCAGGAUUGACGCUGGACUGACUGACUGACUGACUGACUACGACCUUGGACUACCCUUUCUUUGGCUAUCGGUGGAAUUCGUGGAAUCUAAGACGCCUGCACCUGGCUAUCGACCUCGGACCGGAUUGGGACCCCGCUGACCGCUGCAACCCUGAUUGAUGUGUUUGGACCCGGAGUUCGCCCGCUGCACGGAGGAGUAACAACUUAGUUACUCAACCACAGCUGCUAAGUAGCAGAGAGGAAUCUGCUGCCAGUAUUUAUGUUUUAUUGAAUCUUUGUUUACCAGCUUUUGUUUGUUUAAAGUGCCAGGCUGAAGUAAGCAUUUUUGGUUUAACCCGGAUUAAACUCCUGUUUAAUCCGGUUUAUCUUUUGAACCGUUUUUGAGUGACUUUUCAUAUUGAAGGCGAGUGUUUGCCUAGCUCUUUGUUUUUUAUGAGCAUUUUUUGGUUCUGUAUCUUUAAUAAACUGUGUUGAAUCUUA